rnacentral:lncRNA from 1 species
UUUGACGGAGUCUGGAGCAGCUGCUCUACAACAUUGAAUUCACUUCUUUUGAUCAGCUUUAGCACCUCAUCAUCAUCGCUAGUCUUUAACUUGUUGGAUUCACCAAACUGACAUGUUGGAGCACUAACUGGAUUCACUACUGGAAUCUCUACUUUCUUACUUGCUGCAACAUCUUCUACUUCUUUUGGAAAUGCUGGACCGAACAUACGACCGCUAUAGGUCAC